rnacentral:tRNA from 1 species
GCCCGAGUGGCGGAACCGGUAGACGCACAGGACUUAAAAUCCUGCGGGAUUUAAACCCCGUGCCAGUUCAAGUCUGGCCUCGGGCACCA